rnacentral:rRNA from 1 species
GUCUACGGUCAUGCAACCCUGAACACGCCCGAUCCCGUCUGAUCUUGGAAGCUAAGCAGGAUUGAGCCUGAUUAGUACUUGGAUGGGAGACUACCUAGGAAGACCAGGUGCUGUAGGCA